UUCGGUACCGUAAGGUGGUACCAGAAUAAGGGCUGGGCAAGACCGGUGCCAGCCGCCGCGGUAAUACCGGCAGCCCAAGUGAUGGCCGAUCUUAUUGGGCCUAAAGCGUCCGUAGCUGGCCGCGCAAGUCCAUCGGGAAAUCCACCUGCUCAACAGGUGGGCGCCCGGUAGAAACUGCGUGGCUUGGGACCGGAAGGCGCGACGGGUACGUCCGGGGUAGGAGUGAAAUCCCGUAAUCCUGGACGGACCGCCGAUGGCGAAAGCACGUCGCGAGAACGGAUCCGACAGUGAGGGACGAAAGCCAGGGUCUCGAACCGGAUUAGAUACCCGGGUAGUCCUGGCCGUAAACAAUGUCUGCUAGGUGUGGCUCCCACUACGAGUGGGUGCUGUGCCGUAGGGAAGCCGCUAAGCAGACCGCCUGGGAAGUACGUCCGCAAGGAUGAAACUUAAAGGAA
rnacentral:rRNA from 1 species